rnacentral:rRNA from 1 species
UUGAAAGGGAAACGAUUGAAGUCAGUCGUACCUGCGGGUAAUCAGCCUUUUGGGCAUGAUUCUGUGGAGCGUGAGGAGUUAAACGCCUUCAUGCCUGCAUAUUCGUGUACUUUGGGUGUACUUGCCUGUGUGGUUAGUUAACAUCAAUUUUGGUUAUCAUAAAAUGGCUGGAGGAAUGUAGCUUCGAUUUCGAUUGAAGUGUUAUAGCCUUCGGCAGAUGUGAUGAUCGGGAUUGAGGAUUGCAACGGAUACCCUUCGGGGCUACCUGUCUGGUCUCUGAUCGUUGCUCUGGUGCCGAAAGCGUACUUACGGUUAUCAAAGUCGAUGGUCAAUAGGUUAGAACGGGUUAAAUUCGUUAAGGAUGUUGACGUAG